rnacentral:lncRNA from 1 species
GUUGAUCUUGCAUGCAUGCCUUUUCACACUAUGAAAAUAUUUCUUUCCUGUGCAAAUAAAUAAAUAAAUAAAUAAAUAAAAAGAAUUACAUGUAAGGCAUAGCAGUUGAUCUUCCUCAUAUGAAGCUAAUUUGGUUUGAAAUCCUUGUUUUAGUCUAUUCUAUCACAAUUGACUAUUAUAAAAUGCAUGCGGACCAGUUAUGUUCUCUCUCUCUCUCUACACUAAUGACAUCAUAAUGGUAGGUUCCAUCCAAUAUCUAUACUAGUAUAAAAGUACUCCAAAGCGGUGCAUGAAGCUGUGCCUCAGUACUCAGUAGAUCUCCUUCCAUGCCCAUUGCAUGCAGCUGAGUUCUACUCGACAUGCAAGUAAAACACUGAAUAAGUAAGCUAAUAUACUAUUUUCCUUUUUGCGACAUAUUGCAAAGAGCCAUAAACUUUG